UGAACGCUGGCGGCGUGCCUAAUACAUGCAAGUCGAGCGAACAGAUAAGGAGCUUGCUCCUUUGACGUUAGCGGCGGACGGGUGAGUAACACGUGGGUAACCUACCUAUAAGACUGGGAUAACUUCGGGAAACCGGAGCUAAUACCGGAUAACAUUUGGAACCGCAUGGUUCUAAAGUGAAAGAUGGUUUUGCUACUCACUUAUAGAUGGACCCGCGCCCGUAUUAGCUAGAUUGGUAAGGUAACGGCUUACCAAGGCGACGAUACGUAGCCGACCUGAGAGGGUGAUCGGCCACACUGGAACUGAGACACGGUCCAGACUCCUACGGGAGGCAGCAGUAGGGAAUCUUCCGCAAUGGGCGAAAGCAUGACGGAGCAACGCCGCGUGAGUGAUGAAGGGUUUCGGCUCG
rnacentral:rRNA from 1 species